rnacentral:rRNA from 1 species
UACGGAGGGUGCGAGCGUUGUCCGGAAUCACUGGGCGUAAAGGGCGCGUAGGCGGCGCGGGCAGUCAACGGUGAAAGCUCGGAGCUCAACUCCGAGUCGGCCGUCGAUACUCCCGUGCUUGAGCACUGUAGAGGCAGGUGGAAUUCCGGGUGUAGCGGUGGGAUGCGUAGAGAUCCGGAAGAACACCGGUGGCGAAGGCGGCCUGCUGGGCAGUAGCUGACGCUGAGGCGCGACAGCGUGGGGAGCAAACAGG